GUGGACGCCAGUCUGCGUGGAGCCGACCUUGAAAUACCACCCUUUAAUGUUUGAUGUUCUAACGUGGACCCGUAAUCCGGGUUGCGGACAGUGUCUGGUGGGUAGUUUGACUGGGGCGGUCUCCUCCUAAAGAGUAACGGAGGAGCACGAAGGUUGGCUAAUCCUGGUCGGACAUCAGGAGGUUAGUGCAAUGGCAUAAGCCAGCUUGACUGCGAGCGUGACGGCGCGAGCAGGUGCGAAAGCAGGUCAUAGUGAUCCGGUGGUUCUGAAUGGAAGGGCCAUCGCUCAACGGAUAAAAGGUACUCCGGGGAUAACAGGCUGAUACCGCCCAAGAGUUCAUAUCGACGGCGGUGUUUGGCACCUCGAUGUCGGCUCAUCACAUCCUGGGGCUGAAGUAGGUCCCAAGGGUAUGGCUGUUCGCCAUUUAAAGUGGUACGCGAGCUGGGUUUAGAACGUCGUGAGACAGUUCGGUCCCUAUCUGCCGUGGGCGCUGGAGAACUGAGGGGGGCUGCUCCUAGUACGAGAGGACCGGAGUGGACGCAUCACUGGUGUUCGGGUUGUCAUGCCAAUGGCACUGCCCGGUAGCUAAAUGCGGAAGAGAUAAGUGCUGAAAGCAUCUAAGCACGAAACUUGCCCCGAGAUGAGUUCUCCCUGAGACUUAGAGUCUCCUGAAGGAACGUUGAAGACGACGACGUUGAUAGGCCGGGUGUGUAAGCGCAGCGAUGCGUUGAGCUAACCGGUACUAAUGAACCGUGAGGCUUAACCUUACAACGCCGAAGCUGUU
rnacentral:rRNA from 2 species